UCUGGUUCCACCCCAGAGCACAGCCCUGGCACAGGUCCAUCCUGAUGGACGUGUUGGGGAGUCUGUGGGAGCAUGCUGACAGCUCUGUAAGCAGAGCCAUCUCUAUGGGACCUGCUGGAAUGUUCCCUCUUGUGUCCAGUUCUGCUACUUUGGGCUUCUCACAAGUGUGGCUUUUAAGAAGAUGGUAGAAAAGACCUAGCCAGAACCAGUAUUUGUCCACCAAACCAAAGGUAUCAUUUUCAGAAGCACUCAAUGUGAGACAGACCAGUUUGAGAAUGCUGGAAACUCUGCAAGACUUCACUGCACCCAGGAUGAAAGCAAUGGAACAUUGGUGUGGAAGAAUUCAGGGAGCUGAAGCAGAGACCAGUGCUAUUGAUGCUGACAAUGCCAAGGUCCUCGAUUCUGCAAAAAUAAACUGGGUAAUAAACGGAAGGCCCUUUAUCUCACAUGUAAAUAAGAGCAGCGUGCAACAGGGUCAGAUGGAGUUGUGAGCUGAGGACGUUUCCAGCAGGAAAAACCACCACCAUUAGCAUGGUUUCUCCCUGGAUGCUCUGCAGUUUUAGAGGUUUGACAAUAUUGCAUUCAGAGGCAUG